GACGAACGCUGGCGGCGUGCCUAAUACAUGCAAGUAGAACGCUGAAGGAGGAGCUUGCUUCUCUGGAUGAGUUGCGAACGGGUGAGUAACGCGUAGGUAACCUGCCUGGUAGCGGGGGAUAACUAUCGGAAACGAUAGCUAAUACCGCAUAAUAGUAGAUGUCGCAUGACAUUUGCUUAAAAGGUGCAAUUGCAUCACUACCAGAUGGACCUGCGUUGUAUUAGCUAGUUGGUGAGGUAACGGCUCACCAAGGCAACGAUACAUAGCCGACCUGAGAGGGUGAUCGGCCACACUGGGACUGAGACACGGCCCAGACUCCUACGGGAGGCAGCAGUAGGGAAUCUUCGGCAAUGGACGGAAGUCUGACCGAGCAACGCCGCGUGAGUGAAGAAGGUUUUCGGAUCGUAAAGCUCUGUUGUAAGAGAAGAACGAGUGUGAGAGUGGAAAGUUCACACUGUGACGGUAUCUUACCAGAAAGGGACGGCUAACUACGUG
rnacentral:rRNA from 1 species